AUUGAACGCUGGCGGCAUGCCUUACACAUGCAAGUCGAACGGUAACGCGGGGCAACCUGGCGACGAGUGGCGAACGGGUGAGUAAUACAUCGGAACGUGCCCAGUAGUGGGGGAUAGCCCGGCGAAAGCCGGAUUAAUACCGCAUACGACCUACGGGUGAAAGCAGGGGAUCGCAAGACCUUGCGCUAUUGGAGCGGCCGAUGUCAGAUUAGGUUGUUGGUGGGGUAAAAGCCUACCAAGCCGACGAUCUGUAGCUGGUCUGAGAGGACGACCAGCCACACUGGGACUGAGACACGGCCCAGACUCCUACGGGAGGCAGCAGUGGGGAAUUUUGGACAAUGGGCGCAAGCCUGAUCCAGCCAUGCCGCGUGCGGGAAGAAGGCCUCGGUUGUAACCGACUUUGUCAGGGAAGAAACGGACUACCGGGCCGUAAUACCUUGGGGUAAUGACGGUACCUGAAGAAUAA
rnacentral:rRNA from 1 species